rnacentral:rRNA from 1 species
CCUUGACAUACUAAGAACUUUCCAGAGAUGGAUUGGUGCCUUCGGGAACUUAGAUACAGGUGCUGCAUGGCUGUCGUCAGCUCGUGUCGUGAGAUGUUGGGUUAAGUCCCGCAACGAGCGCAACCCUUUUCCUUAUUUGCCAGCGGGUCAUGCCGGGAACUUUAAGGAUACUGCCAGUGACAAACUGGAGGAAGGCGGGGACGACGUCAAGUCAUCAUGGCCCUUACGGCCAGGGCUACACACGUGCUACAAUGGUCGGUACAAAGGGUUGCUACCUCGCGAGAGGAUGCUAAUCUCAAAAAGCCGAUCGUAGUCCGGAUCGCAGUCUGCAACUCGACUGCGUGAAGUCGGAAUCGCUAGUAAUCGCGGAUCAGAAUGCCGCGGUGAAUACGUUCCCGGGCCUUGUACACACCGCCCGUCACACCAUGGGAGUUUAUUGCACCAGAAGUAGGUAGUCUAACCGCAAGGAGGACGCUUACCACGGUGUGGCCGAUGACUGGGGUGAAGUCGUAACAAGGUAAGCGUAGAUGA